GGAAACGUGGCCGAGUAGGCUGAAGGCGGCACCCUGCUAAGGUGUUAUAUGGGGCAACCUGUAUCGUGGGUUCGAAUCCCACCGUUUCCG
rnacentral:tRNA from 16 species